GCUCUGUGUGGUAGCAUAUACUGAAACUGGAACAAUACAGAAAAGAUUAGCAUGCCCCCGCCACCAUUCAAGAAUGACACGCAAUUUGUGAAAUGUCCCGUAUUUUC
rnacentral:snRNA from 1 species